GAGUGUAUUAUGUUCUCCCUCACCCAAAAAACAAAAAUUGCAAAACGUUGACGAGUAAUAUAGUCAAUUCACACAUUUCUAAAGACUAAUAAUUGCCCCAAGGAAGGUAUUGUCUAUCAAAAUAUUCAAUGAUCUUAAGGUUAAAAUUAUCUCAGGUAACAACAGUGCCUAAUUUUACCCUUUUUUUCUUUCCUUUUUCUGGAAUGACAAGUUUAGCCAUCUGAAGAAGUUCAUGGGAAUUUGGGGUUGAACCCACCAUCAUUCGAAGGGGUCCCAUGGAGCAUACUGAAGGUUUGGAUCAAUGGCUGAUACAGAUAUGGAAAGGGUAUCAUUAGGUUGAUGAUCAGAUGGCUAAGAAUCAGUCAAUGGAGUUAAUUUGUGUGCAUGUAAAAUUGUCCAGGGAGGAAUGGACCCAUUAGAUACUGAGCACUACACAACAUUUGCAUCUGCUUCACACUGUAUAAAUAACAGAUCCGCCAUCUUUCUGGGUCCCAAAUGUCUCAAAAUUAUGCAAUCCGGAAGAUGAUGAUUAAAUGGUUAUUUUUGUCAUUUCAAGUUUUUCUUUUCUUUUUUUUUUUU
rnacentral:lncRNA from 1 species